rnacentral:misc_RNA from 1 species
AGUCGUAACAAGGUUUCCGUAGGUGAACCUGCGGAAGGAUCAUUACCGAGUGCGGGCCCUCUGGGUCCAACCUCCCAUCCGUGUCUAUCUGUACCCUGUUGCUUCGGCGUGGCCACGGCCCGCCGAAGACUAACAUUUGAACACUGUCUGAAGUUUGCAGUCUGAGUUUUUAGUUAAACAAUAAUUAAAACUUUCAACAACGGAUCUCUUGGUUCCGGCAUCGAUGAAGAACGCAGCGAAAUGCGAUAAUUAAUGUGAAUUGCAGAAUUCAGUGAAUCAUCGAGUCUUUGAACGCACAUUGCGCCCCCUGGUAUUCCGGGGGGCAUGCCUGUCCGAGCGUCAUUGCUGCCCUCAAGCACGGCUUGUGUGUUGGGCUUCCGUCCCUGGUAACGGGGACGGGCCCAAAAGGCAGUGGCGGCACCAUGUCUGGUCCUCGAGCGUAUGGGGCUUUGUCACCCGCUCCCGUAGGUCCAGCUGGCAGCUAGCCUCGCAACCAAUCUUUUUAACCAGGUUGACCUCGGAUCAGGUAGGGAUACCCGCUGAACUUAAGCAUAUCAAUAA